UUGUUAGGCCAGUGUUUGCUUUACCAGACAGCUGGGUCACCUGGCCAAGCUGACACAUGAACCUAACCAUCACACAACCCUAUGGGUUUAAAAUUAUUUUUCUAGUACAGUUAAGGAAUAUAGAUUUAAAGUUUCAGUGACUUACUAAGUUGAGGCGCCAUAGGACUAAAGCUGGCAAAUCAAGAAACUAAACCCUGGAUUCUCCAGUCCAAAGCAGCACUCUUCAUGACUUGCUAUAUUUCUUCUUGAGAGAAUAAACUGAAGAACAUCCCAAAGUGCCCUCCAAAAUAAAAUUAUCUGAAAUUGGAAAUGUUUGUGGGUUUCUGUGAUCCAAUUUGAAGGAUAACACCAUAUUUUUAUUUUUACACAUAAACUUUCCUAAAAAACACAGAUAUUUAAAUCACAGGAUUCAUACAUAUUUCCUGGAUUCCACUUACUAUGUAUAUUUCUAAAAACAUAUUAUUAUUAUUGUUCCAGAUCAGGUUGCCUAAAAGAGGAUGGCUCAACAGAAAACUAAUAAAAGGAUGCUACUCUAUUUAGAGAGAAACCAAGUAAAUACCCAGAGAGGAAUGAAAGGAAAGAUGCACUUAAAUGUUCAGCAUCACUGUCAUUUCAAUUUCCUGGAGCCCUUUCUCUUCUGUAUGAGCCUAAUGAUAGCAUUUUUCACUUCCUUGUUCCUGAGACUAUAAAUGAGUGGAUUCAGCAUGGGGACCACCAUAGUAUAAAACACAGAGGCCACUUGAUCUCUUCCAAAGGAGUAGGACUUCUUUGGUUUUAAAUAAGUAAAAAUUGUAGUCGUGUAAUAGAUGGUGACUCCCAAGAGGUGGGAGGCACAAGUUGAGAAGCCUUUGCGUUUUCCUGAAGUGGAAUUAAUUUUCAGGAUAGUAGACACAAUGGACCCAUAGGACACAGAGAUUGUGCCAAGAGACACCAAUUCAUUUAAACUACCAAGAAUAAAUAUCAUGAUUUCAGUGUCAUGAGUGUCAGUACACGACAGGGCUAAAACAGGGGUUAAGUCACAGAAGAAGUGAUAGAUUACAUUGGAUUUGCAGAAAUGCAAACUGCUCAUAUAAACAACAUUGACUAAGGAUUCAGUAAAGCCAAUCAUGUAGGAGCCAGUGAUGAGGGCUCGGCAGAGUCUCAUGGACAUGACAACUGGGUAGUUCAGAGGAUUGCAGAUAGCUACAUAGUGGUCAUAGGCCAUUGAAGAGAGAAAAAAUAAUUCACUGGCAGCAAAGAAAAAAACAAAAGACAUCUGGGUGAAGCAGCCCAUGAAUGAAAUAUACUUGUUGGAAGUCAGUAAGUUCUCUAAUGUUUUAGGUGUGAUGACCAUUGAAUAACAGAGGUCAAGGAAUGACAGGUGACUGAGGAAAUAAUACAUAGGGGUGUGAAGCUGGAGAUCCAGGUGAAUUAUCAGCAUCAUCCCUGCAUUCCCCAGCACAUUAAUCAGGUAAAUCAGUAGAAACAGCAUAAAGAGGACCUGCCGGAUCACUUCUGAUUCUGCCAAUCCCAUAAGGAUGAACUCAGUUACAUUUGUGUUAUUUCUACUUCCCAUAAUAACAUUCAAAUGUUUGUAAACUGUUGAGAAAACAAAAGUGAUACUUAGUUGAAUGAAUUCAAAGCAGUUUUUGUUUAUUGGAAUGAUGUAGUAUGUUUUUUAGAAAAUAGUUUGAUUCUAAAAAUUCAUAAUAAAGAUAAUUUGCAAAAUAUGAAUAAAAAAAUCUUAGUUUGCCUGUCAGAUAUAAAUUAUUUAUAAAUCAUGAUUUGUAUGUUAUAUAACAGAGACUCCUAUAUAUUGCAUAACUACAAUUAAUUUGGCACUUUAUUAACACAUUUAUCCACAUGAAAUGUUAUACCAUAGGUACUGCUUUUGUACACAUUUUCUGGAUGAGAAAGUUAAUGAACUUACCUAGAGUCACAAACAAGAUUAUUUGAACCCAGCGAUCAUGCACAUAAACAAUAUAUUCCACUUAAAAUUAGUUUCAGAGAAAGAGAAAAAAGUACUAUGUCUGUAACAAACAAUGAUACAGAGAUUCAUGAAUUAUUUACUGUUCUAUUGUAUGCAAUAUUAUUUAAUACAGGUAACAGAUCAUAAGUUAAACCUCAGACUACUUUACUGGGAUGUAUUUAUGUUAUAGAUCGCCCAUAACUAUUGAUUUGCAGAAGAUUAUUUAAUCAAAUAUCCUCCAAAAAAUAAAUUUCUGAUACAUGUACAUUGAUUGAUGACUCUGAUUCCAUCAAUUCUAUAUUUCUGUUUACCUAUUUGCUUAAGUAAAUCCUACAUUGUGUGUAUGUGCGUGUGUGUGUAUAAUUCUGAUAUUAUCCCCAUUUUUUAAAGACAAACUAAAAUACUCUAUUUUUGAGAUUAAUACUUACCAUGAGACAAAGUUGGUGAAAAACAUUUUAUAGCUUCUCUGUCUAGAAAUUUCUCAAACUAAAGUUUGUCUCACAAAUAAAAUGUCUAAAUCAUUUAAGGAGCCUGAAAUUUCUGUGCUAUAACAUUUGCUUCCAUAGAGAACUUUUGUUUGAUUUUUUUGAACAUGCAUUUUUUGUGUGUUUUUGUUUAUUUUUAGGUAAAACAAAUCAAUCGAAAAGUUUUGUUCAGGUCCUGGUCAAACAGAAAGUUCACCUGGAAAUUAUGUCUCACAAGUACACCAAGGAGCUACUGUAACCACAAGCAGGGGACAGCAUCCCUUACAUUUCACCCUGAUAAUGCCAGGGCACCUCUUAUAUCGGGAUUGCUGAUAAUGCAACAUUUGUCAUCUCUGGGACCAAUUUCCAGGGAAAAUCACUUGGCAAGAGUCCAAGGAUAAAAUUCAAAGGACUAAUGCGUCUGUGUUUGGUUUGUUACUGGCAGUUGUCUCCCCUUAGUAGCCAUUAAUGUUGAGAGCAUUUUUUGGUAUUCCUUUGUGAUGCUCUAAUUUAUGACUGGGAUAAAGAAAGAUGUUUCUGAAAAAAUACUUAAUUCAUCUGUGGCUGAAAGUCCAGAUCAUUAACCACAAGGUGGUUUAUAUUUACAAUUUUAUAUUUAAAAGUGUGACAUUUUAAUAGGAGUAAACAUUGUUCAUUACACAAAAAAUUGAAAUACAAUAAAAGUUAAAGAAGAAAUUGAAAUGUUAAUCUUUAGAGGUAUUUUCUUCCAAUUAUUUUCCUUUGUGCAUGUAAAGCUUAUUUAUAUCUAUAGCUAUGUGUGUAUAUUAUUUUAUCACACUAUUUUCAAUGAUCUUAUUUUGUUAGUAAAUACUUAUAAUUGACUUAUGUUAUAUAUACUUUUAAAACCAACAAUUUCAUGUAUUUUUCAAUGACUGGUACAGCACAGGUAACUUGUUUCUAGGAGUGUACACCAGCUGAUGAACGGGUGUUUUUGAGACAUCGCAAGGAAAACAUGUUGGAAUUUCUCCAGGCAGUUGCAUCUACCUCCAGAGUCACUGCUGCUGAUCUUUCAUCACUGCUCCUGAAGGACUAUUGGAUGGGGACCAGAGCCAGGAAAGAGGACAAAAUAUUUUGGUGUGAAAAGGAAACCCUGUGAGACAACUUGAAAUUCAAGUUCAUCUGAUCCCUUUUCUAAGUCACUAGAAACAUUUUAAACUAAAUAAUAUUCACAAUGUUUCUCAUUUGAAUUUAGUAAUAUCUUGUGACAUGAAUGUGUUUGCUUCCAUUUUAUAAUUAUGACCAGUAAAGAAAUGCAUUUCAUGCAUGUUACAGCAAAUGUAAGAAUAGUACUUGGGUGUUUAUUUCCACUAUAUCAUUUUUUUUGAUGUAAAAAUGACAAUAUUCGUUUACCAUUGUGAAUUUUCAUAUGAUGUAAUGUGAAAAGAAGUGGUUGAAAUUAAAAAUAAAAUUAAGCAGAAAAGA